AGCUUCAUUCUAUGUGAGAAUGGGCACUGUUGAUUAUCGUAUUCAAUAAUUGUUAAUGUGGCUACUCUGAGACACAGGCUGUGCUUCCAUCAUGGUAAAUGUAUUACAGGGGUGACAGUGAGAGCUGCAACAUUU